rnacentral:rRNA from 1 species
AUUGAACGCUGGCGGCAGGCUUAACACAUGCAAGUCGAGCGAGCGGCGGACGGGUGAGUAAUGUCUGGGAAAAUGCCCGAUGGAGGGGGAUAACUACUGGAACCGGUAGCUAAUACCGCAUACCAUCAGAGGUGCCCAUAUGGGAUUAGCUAGUAGGUGGGGUAAUGGCUCACCUAGGCGACGAUCCCUAGCUGGUCUGAGAGGAUGACCAGCCACACUGGAACUGAGACACGGUCCAGACGCCUACGGGAGGCAGCAGUGGGGAAUAUUGCACAAUGGGGGCAAGCCUGAUGCAGCCAUGCCGCGUGUGUGAAGAAGGCCUUCUGGUUGUAAAGCACUUUCAGCGAGGAGGCGUUACUCGCAGAAGAAGCACCGGCUAACUCCGUGCCAGCAGCCGCGGUAAUAC